AUGCUGGUGGUGGAGCUGGGCAUAUGGGUCAUCCCGCUGACCCUCGUCUUCGUCCCGUGCCGGCGCAUCGUCCUCCUCCUGUCCAGGCUCCAGGAGCUUGGACGGACCAUGAUGCGCCCGAGGCUGGUGAUCAGCUCGCGGGAAGAGGACAUGUGGAGCCGCCUGUCCAGGCUUAACUCCAUGGCCUUCAUGUUGUGA
rnacentral:rRNA from 1 species